rnacentral:rRNA from 1 species
UCGAACAGACCUAAACUCCUAGCCCCUACACCAAGGUUUCAUUUUAAUCCAACAUCGAGGUCGCAAUCUCUUUUUUCGAUUAGAACUCUCAAAAAAAAUUACGCUGUUAUCCCUAAGGUAAUUUACUCUUAUAAUCCAAAAUAAGGGAUCAUUUACUCACAAAUAAGUGUUCAAAUAAUAAAAAAAGUUUCUUAAAUUUUUCAAUCGCCCCAACCUAAUUAAUUAUUAUAUAAAAAUUUAUUAAUUCUUAAAAUCCUCAUAUAACUUUUAAUAAAACUCUAUAGGGUCUUCUCGUCUUUUAUUUACAAUUAAGCUUUCUAACUUAAAAAUAAAAUUCUAAUAAAUUUAAAUAGAGACAGUUAUUUUCUCAUCCAACCUUUCAUUCCAGCUUUCAAUUAAAAAACUAAUGAUUAUGCUACCUUUGCACGGUCAAAUUACCGCGGCCAUUUAAUAUAUCUCAUUGGGCAGGUCAGACCUUAAAUUAUACUCAAAAA